UAAUUUAUGUGUAUUCAUAUAUAUAUAUAUAUAAUUUUAUAUAUACAUAUAUGGUCGAGAGGACAGACGGGGGCAUUCGUACUGUGCCGUUAGAGGUGAAAUUCUUGGAUCGGCGCAAAACGACUGUGAAAGCAUUGCCAAGAAUGUUUUCGUU
rnacentral:ncRNA from 1 species